rnacentral:lncRNA from 1 species
AUUUUAUAGCAGUGAUUUUUUUGGAGAAGAAUGGUUAAAAAUAGGAAAAAAGUUUGAAUUUAAAUGUAAAAUUAUUUUAUUAAGAAAAUGUAUGCUUGGAAAUAAAUUUAGAGAAAAACAAGUUUUUAAAAAUAAGAAUCAAACAGAAAAAAGAGAAAAGACUGCUUUUAUUAUUGCUGCAAUCUGUGAUUGGAAAACUCAUGCUAGGGAUUACAAUGGCCUCUUUAUCUGCCUUACCAGCUUAUACGAACUAGCACUAUGAGUGCCUAUGCUAGCAGCUGAUCUCAGAUCCAUCCUCGUCCAAUGUUGCUAUGUUGUGAUGUUAACUCAUGCAACAAGUUACAGAACAAUACACGUCUUAGAAGACGUUGAGAUCUUGUAAAGAAGUUUCAUUCGGAGCUCUUUGAAUAUUUGAUGUCAACGUGGUCAGAAUUUCAACAUCGACCGGUAAUAACUGUGUACCAUUUAGAAUGUAGCACAACCAAGAAACAUGAGAUGAAAAGAGAGAGAGAAUCCCGAAAACCAUAGGAAUGGGUGGAGUUGGUAAGUAAUUCAAGAUCAUCACUCUCAUCCUCCGCGAGGCCCGGGAGGGGGGUCGAGGAGAAGAUAUGAAUGGCUUUCCAAUCCACCAAUCCCUAUAGAUUUCAGAUUAUCAGCUCCCAUUUCAGAUCAGUUGGCAAUCUGUCAACAAAAUUUAUCUGCCUA